rnacentral:rRNA from 1 species
UGAGGAAUAUUGCACAAUGGGCGCAAGCCUGAUGCAGCGACGCCGCGUGGGGGAUGACGGCCUUCGGGUUGUAAACCUCUUUCACCAUCGACGAAAGUCCGGGUUUUCUCGGAUUGACGGUAGGUGGAGAAGAAGCACCGGCCAACUACGUGCCAGCAGCCGCGGUAAUACGUAGGGUGCGAGCAUUGUCCGGAAUUACUGGGCGUAAAGAGCUCGUAGGUGGUUUGUCGCGUUGUUCGUGAAAUCUCACGGCUUAACUGUGAGCGUGCGGGCGAUACGGGCAGACUAGAGUACUGCAGGGGAGACUGGAAUUCCUGGUGUAGCGGUGGAAUGCGCAGAUAUCAGGAGGAACACCGGUGGCGAAGGCGGGUCUCUGGGCAGUAACUGACGCUGAGGAGCGAAAGCGUGGGGAGCGAACAGGAUUAGAUACCCUGGUAGUCCACGCCGUAAACGGUGGGUACUAGGUGUGGGUUUCCUUCCUUGGGAUCCGUGCCGUAGCUAACGCAUUAAGUACCCCGCCUGGGGAGUACGGCCGCAAGGCUA